GUGAGGAAUUUUCCGCAAUGGGCGAAAGCCUGACGGAGCAAUGCCGCGUGAAGGAUGAAGGCCUAUGGGUUGUAAACUUCUUUUCUUAGAGAAGAAUAUUGACGGUAUCUGAGGAAUAAGCAUCAGCUAACUCUGUGCCAGCAGCCGCGGUAAGACAGAGGAUGCAAGCGUUAUCCGGAAUGAUUGGGCGUAAAGCGUCUGUAGGUGGCUUCAAAAGUCUCCUGUCAAAGAUCAGGGCUUAACCCUGGGCCGGCAGGAGAAACUCUGAGGCUAGAGUUUGGUAGGGGCAGAGGGAAUUCCCGGUGGAGCGGUGAAAUGCGUAGAGAUCGGGAGGAACACCAAAGGCGAAAGCACUCUGCUGGGCCACAACUGACACUGAGAGACGAAAACGAGGGGAGCAAAAGGGAUUAGAUACCCCGGUAGUCC
rnacentral:rRNA from 1 species